rnacentral:rRNA from 1 species
CAGCAGCCGCGGUAAUACGGAGGAUCCAAGCGUUAUCCGGAAUCAUUGGGUUUAAAGGGUCCGUAGGCGGUCUUGUAAGUCAGUGGUGAAAGCCCAUCGCUCAACGGUGGAACGGCCAUUGAUACUGCAGGACUUGAAUUAUUGGGAAGUAACUAGAAUAUGUAGUGUAGCGGUGAAAUGCUUAGAGAUUACAUGGAAUACCAAUUGCGAAGGCAGGUUACUACCAAUUGAUUGACGCUGAUGGACGAAAGCGUGGGUAGCGAACAGGAUUAGAUACCCGAGUAGUCCCUGUCUCUUAUAC